UCAUAAGCCACCACGCCCAGCUUCUUUCCUAUUAUACUGUUAUUAUGUAUAGGGGUGGUGGUUAGGUCACAAUUUUGUCUAUGAGUUGCACACUAUUGAGAUGAGAUUAUUACAGAAUCAGAGAACAUCACACUGAGGUCCUGGACUUAAAACUGGAUGAGGGAUAGUAGUACUAUGUCAGAAAGAUGCAUUUUAAAUGUGUAAAUAUGGAGAGAAUUAUGCUUGCAGAUGUUGGGAAGACAAAAAGAUGGACUAUAUUACACCUGAUGUGUUUUUAUAUUUGGUGCUGUCAUCAAACCCAUUUCAUAUGUUUGGUUAACCUUGGUAGAAUAAAGGGUCCCAUUUUCUACUGUGGAAACUAACGAGGUCAGAUACAUCUGCUGUCUUUGAUGCCUGACAGCCCAAGCACUGGCACAAGACUUAAACUUGGUCAGUUGGACAUUCUACUACGCUUUGAAUCUGAAGUGAUAAAACAAGUACUUGAAAUCCAGUUUCCAGGGUCAUCCUGGCUAGAGAAGAAUACAGUCAUUUAGCUCUGAGGUCAUCAGAACUUGGCUAUGCUUUUGGUCAUCUACUUUCCUUUGGCUUCUAUUUGUUUUCCAAACCUGGCUCUCUAGCCUUUCCAUCAAUUCUGUGAGCUACCUGAUCCUCCUCCAAUAAAUUCUUUUUCUGUUUAGGUUGAUCAUAAUUUUUUUUGUUGUUUGCAACCAAGAACUCUUACUGGUAUACUUCAAUGAGAUUCAUUCUCUAAAGUAAGAGUCAAUAAUACCAUUUCAGAUCAUUGUUUCCUCUCUCCCCCAUAACUGUACCCCAUCUCCCACAAUCUGAAUUUGGAGGUGAAUAGUGUGUGGUGGUUUCCCAGAUAAAUCAAGUAAGUUAAAUUUGUUAGAUUUUAAACCAUGAACACAGAUGUGCUUUUAGAACUGUAUUAAAAUAACCAAAAACUAAUCAAUCAACUAUGAUAAGAGCAAUUUCCACUCAAAUACUAUUUAUAUGAUUGAGUCCUUUGAUAAACCUGAAAAUUAUCCAAACUUUGAAUAUGCACAUUUCAAACUCAGAGCCAAGAUAUAGGAAUAUAAAAAAUGUGCUUGGCAAAAAUAUGUGGUGGCUAAUUAAUAUAUUUACAUUUUCUAGUUAUAAUGCACUUGGGAUAUUAGUUUAUAAAAAUUUUGAGUACUUUCUAAAAAGUAAAUAAUUAUCAAUAGCAAUCAAAAUUAUUUUAACUAUAAUAAUAUAUACAAAAGAUAUAAAAAUACAAAGGCUACAAGUUAUAUAAUUAGGCUGGUCUAUGUUAUAAAUAAAAUAUAUAUACCUCUAGUAUUCAGAGAAUAAGCAAAGGAUUACAAGGGUUGUAGCUGUUCCUCCAGAUAGCCAUUUGUUCAUUUAUUAACACCAGAGGCAAUAACAACGCUAAAAAUAAACAUCUCCAUAUAUCAAAAACAUUUGCAUCUGUAUCACCAAACAUGUA
rnacentral:lncRNA from 10 species